UGGGGAAUAUUGCACAAUGGGCGCAAGCCUGAUGCAGCCAUGCCGCGUGUGUGAAGAAGGCCUUCGGGCUGUAAAGCACUUUCAGCGGGGAGGAAGGCGUUAAGGUUAAUAACCUUGGCGAUUGACGUUACCCGCAGAAGAAGCACCGGCUAACUCCGUGCCAGCAGCCGCGGUAAUACGGAGGGUGCAAGCGUUAAUCGGAAUUACUGGGCGUAAAGCGAACGCAGGCGGUCUGUCAAGUCGGAUGUGAAAUCCCCGGGCUCAACCUGGGAACUGCAUUCGAAACUGUCAGGCUAGAGUCUUGUAGAGGGGUGUAGAAUUCCAGGUGUAGCGGUGAGAUGCGUAGAGUUCUGGAGGAAUACCGGUGGCGAAGGCGGCCCCCUGGACAAAGACUGACGCUCAGGUGCGAAAGCGUGGGGAGCAAACAGG
rnacentral:rRNA from 1 species